GGGCGUAAAGAGCUCGUAGGCGGUUUGUCGCGUCUGCUGUGAAAGCCCGGGGCUCAACCCCGGGUCUGCAGUGGGUACGGGCAGACUAGAGUGCAGUAGGGGAGACUGGAAUUCCUGGUGUAGCGGUGAAAUGCGCAGAUAUCAGGAGGAACACCGAUGGCGAAGGCAGGUCUCUGGGCUGUUACUGACGCUGAGGAGCGAAAGCAUGGGGAGCGAACAGGAUUAGAUACCCUGGUAGUCCAUGCCGUAAACGUUGGGCACUAGGUGUGGGGGACAUUCCACGUUUUCCGCGCCGUAGCUAACGCAUUAAGUGCCCCGCCUGGGGAGUACGGCCGCAAGGCUAAAACUCAAAGGAAUUGACGGGGGCCCGCACAAGCGGCGGAGCAUGCGGAUUAAUUCGAUGCAACGCGAAGAACCUUACCAAGGCUUGACAUUCACCGGACCGCCCCAGAGAUGGGGUUUCCCUUCGGGGCUGGUGGACAGGUGGUGCAUGGUUGUCGUCAGCUCGUGUCGUGAGAUGUUGGGUUAAGUCCCGCAACGAGCGCAACCCUCGUUCUAUGUUGCCAGCACGUGGUGGUGGGGACUCAUAGGAGACUGCCGGGGUCAACUCGGAGGAAGGUGGGGAUGACGUCAAAUCAUCAUGCCCCUUAUGUCUUGGGCUUCACGCAUGCUACAAUGGCCGGUACAAAGGGUUGCGAUACUGUGAGGUGGAGCUAAUCCCAAAAAGCCGGUCUCAGUUCGGAUUGAGGUCUGCAACUCGACCUCAUGAAGUCGGAGUCGCUAGUAAU
rnacentral:rRNA from 1 species